rnacentral:rRNA from 1 species
CCUACGGGAGGCUGCAGUGGGGGAUAUUGCACAAUGGGGGGAACCCUGAUGCAGCGACGCCGCGUGGGUGAAGAAGCGCCUCGGCGCGUAAAGCCCUGUCAGCAGGGAAGAAAAUGACGGUACCUGAAGAAGAAGCCCCGGCUAACUAAGUGCCAGCAGCCGCGGGGAUACGUAGGGGGGAAGCGUUAUCCGGAUUUACUGGGUGAAAAGGGGGCGCAGACGGCGAUGCAAGCCAGGAGUGAAAGCCCGGGGCCCAACCCCGGGACUGCUCUUGGAACUGCGUGGCUGGAUUGCAGGAGGGGCAGGCGGAAUUCCUGGUGUAGCGGUGAAAUGCGUAGAUAUCAGGAGGAACACCGGUGGCGAGGCGGCCUGCUGGACUGCAACUGACGUUGAGGCCCGAAAGCGUGGGGAGCAAACAGGAUUAGAUACCCCUGUAGUC